UAGGAGUCAUCCACAAUCCCGUCGGCCACCGUUGCAUCCUAAAUAAACCCUCCUAUGGUGACGGAGCCAGUCAGAGAGGCUGGGAGUGGAGACGAGAUUUGUCCACGUCGGCACAGCUGCUGCUGCUGUAACAUGGAUCCCGCUGCACUGGAACCGUCCCUCUACACUGUCAAGGCUCUCAUCAUCUUGGACAACGAUGGAGAACGCCUCUUCGCCAAGUAUUACGAUGGGACCUACCCCUCCACGAAGGAACAAAAGAGUUUUGAGAAGAAUAUUUUCAGCAAGACUCACAAGAACGACAGUGAGAUAGCGUUCCUGGAGGGGCUGACUGUCAUCUACAAGAAUUGUGUCGAUCUGUACUUCUACAUUGUAGGGAGUCCACAUGAGAAUGAGCUCAUGCUCAUGUCCGUGCUCAACUGCCUGUUUGAGUCUGUGAGUCAGAUGUUACGGAAGAAUGUGGAGAAGAAGUCUCUGAUGGAUAACAUGGACGGGGUGUUGUUGAUCACGGAUGAGAUUGUAGAUGGAGGGGUGAUUUUGGAAAGUGAUCCACACCAGGUGAUUCAGAAAGUAAACUUCCGGACUGUGUCAGAAGCAGCUUACGGCUUCGUCCUCUUUGACUAUCUGACAAGCAGCAGCAGCCCUGACAGUCGACCUCUCAACUGAGGAAGGGGAGUGCGCAGGUUGAUGACACACCUUUAACUGAACAGAGUAUGGCUCAGGUCCUCCAGUCAGCCAAGGAACAGAUCAAGUGGUCGCUGUUGAAAUAAAUCGGGAAUCUCCCACUCUCUCUCGUCUGCCCGUCACGUCUGACCCUCGGCUGGCGUGUGUGCCUGUCCAGUGGCCGCAGGACUUGGCCAGACAUCCCCACUUCUCCUCACAACCCAGCCGGACGUAUUCCGACUCACUCCCAACAUUAUAAUUCCCUCCCAAGUUCCGCAUCACCCCAAGCCUCCGCCGUCGGAGUAUCUUUAUUUUGGUUUGUAUUGGUAUUGGAUUAUCAAUGCCGAGCUACAGGGAGUUAUCCAGUCAAGUUGUCCCAUACAUGAGUACCAAUGAGCCACACACAACAGUGCAACAGUGCAACAGUGCAAAGGGAAAAGUACCAGAGUGCAGAAUACAGUGUUAUAUUUACAGAAAAAGUAUAAUUUUUUUUUAAAAAGUGCAACGAAUGGAAGGACCGCUCCUUAGUCUGUUAACAGCGGGGAAGAAACUGCCCCUGAAUCUGGCGGUGGGCGGUUUCGAGUUCUAGUAUCUUCUGCCUGACAAGGGGGGGGGUGGGGGAGACAGAGAACGACCAGGGUGUGAGUGGUUCUUGAUUUUGUUUCCCAAGACAGUGUGAAGUGUAGGUAGAGUUAUUUUUUUUUGGGGGGGGGAUCUGGCCUGUGUGAUGGACUGGGCUACAACCACAACUCUCCGCGAUUUCUUGCGGUCUGAGGCAGGGCAGAUGGGGGAGGGGGAGAUAGGGGGGGGGGGGGGGGAUUAAUGAUCUGAUGAUCAUCCAACCACCGAUGAGACCGGUAGCAUUGAACUCAGCUGUCUUGCAACACAGCCACAGCUGAUAGGAGGAGAGGAGGAAUUUCUUCAGUCAGAUCUGGUGACCUGUUUCGACUAAGCAUUUUGUCUCCUGUUAAUUCAUCCGAGAUAAACGCCACAAUUUAUAAGCCACCUUCUCCUUUGAGUGUUUUUGCAACCUGAUGGACUAAGCAGUUUAGAGAGAUACAGCGUGGAAACGGGCCCUUUGGCCCAUCGAGUCCACGUCAGCCAGCGAUCACCCGUUCACACUCGUUCCAUGCUAUCCCACGUUCUCAUCCACUCCCUACACACUAGGGCCAAUUAACCGACAAACCCGCACACGUCUUUGGGAUGUGGGGGGAAACCAGAGCACCCGGAGCAAACCCACGUGGUCACAUGGAGAACGUGUAAACUCCACAUAGACAGCACCCGAGAUCAGGAUCAAACUGGGGUCUCUGGCGCUGUGAGGCAGCGGUUCUACCUGCUGCACCACUGUGCCGCCCAGCCCCUGCUGGUGAGGCUGGCCCAGCCAUGCAUCGCUUUCUUGCGACUAGCCCUGGGAUACCCCUUGGCAAACUCUCUACCCUGUGUGUUCCCUGGCAGCUUAGAUACGGGAACAUCAGCGGGAACUGGAGUCUGUGUCCCUUUCUCACUGUGGCUGUCUAGUCUAGUCUCGUCUAGUCUAGCCUCAUCUCGUCUCUUCUCGGGAACUGGUGCCUAAUUAUGAUCAGGUGUCGGUGGAGCGUUGAAAUCACCAAAAUGCACCUUUUAAUUAAAGUCCAUUUUUCCAAUCCUGUUUAAA